UGCUUGUCUCAAAGAUUAAGCCAUGCAUGUCUAAGUAUAAGCACUCUUUUACUGUGAAACUGCGAAUGGCUCAUUAAAUCAGUUAUCGUUUAUUUGAUAGUACCCUACUACAUGGAUACCUGUGGUAAUUCUAGAGCUAAUACAUGCUUAAAACCCCGACUUCGGAAGGGGUGUAUUUAUUAGAUAAAAAACCAAUGCCCUUCGGGGCUCCUUGGUGAUUCAUAAUAACUUCACGAAUCGCAUGGCCUUGCGCCGGCGAUGGUUCAUUCAAAUUUCUGCCCUAUCAACUUUCGAUGGUAGGAUAGUGGCCUACCAUGGUGGCAACGGGUAACGGGGAAUUAGGGUUCGAUUCCGGAGAGGGAGCCUGAGAAACGGCUACCACAUCCAAGGAAGGCAGCAGGCGCGCAAAUUACCCAAUCCCGAUACGGGGAGGUAGUGACAAUAAAUACUGAUACAGGGCUCUUUUGGGUCUUGUAAUUGGAAUGAGAACAAUCUAAAUCCCUUAACGAGGAACAAUUGGAGGGCAAGUCUGGUGCCAGCAGCCGCGGUAAUUCCAGCUCCAAUAGCGUAUAUUAAAGUUGUUGCAGUUAAAAAGCUCGUAGUUGAACCUUGGGCCCGUCCUGCCGGUCCGCCUCACCGCGAGUACUGGUCCGGAUGGGCCUUUCUUUCUGGGGAAUCCCAUGGCCUUCACUGGCUGUGGCGGGGAACCAGGACUUUUACUGUGAAAAAAUUAGAGUGUUCAAAGCAGGCCUUUGCUCGGAUACAUUAGCAUGGAAUAAUCGAAUAGGACGUGUGGUUCUAUUUUGUUGGUUUCUAGGACCGCCGUAAUGAUUAAUAGGGAUAGUCGGGGGCGUCAGUAUUCAGCUGUCAGAGGUGAAAUUCUUGGAUUUGCUGAAGACUAACUACUGCGAAAGCAUUCGCCAAGGAUGUUUUCAUUAAUCAGGGAACGAAAGUUAGGGGAUCGAAGACGAUCAGAUACCGUCGUAGUCUUAACCAUAAACUAUGCCGACUAGGGAUCGGGCGGGGUUUCUAUGAUGACCCGCUCGGCACCUUACGAGAAAUCAAAGUUUUUGGGUUCUGGGGGGAGUAUGGUCGCAAGGCUGAAACUUAAAGAAAUUGACGGAAGGGCACCACAAGGCGUAAACCUCUCGCUGCCGCAGCGACUCUGCGCCGAAUAGCAGCCCGAAAGGGUGAUGUGGUGUGCCUCACUUAAAUGCUAGUCCAGCCUUCCGCUGGGCGACAUGCCCAAAUUGCGGGAAACUCCUCCACAGCUGCCGGCUACCAAACCACGCGCUGAAAGGCCGUGGCGGCCAGGGUAACACCCUCGGGUACGGUCACAAUGCCGGCAGACAUGGGGACGAUCCGCAGCCACGCCCCUGUAGCCCCCUCGCUGGCCGAGGGGGUAUGGGGCCGGUUCAGAGACUAGAUGGGCGUGGGUCGACGACCGGUCGGCCUAAGAUAUAGUCCGGUACGGGGGGACAACCCCCGUAGUACAGGUCCUCUUACCGGGAGCCUGCGGCUUAAUUUGACUCAACACGGGGAAACUCACCAGGUCCAGACAAAAUAAGGAUUGACAGAUUGAGAGCUCUUUCUUGAUCUUUUGGAUGGUGGUGCAUGGCCGUUCUUAGUUGGUGGAGUGAUUUGUCUGCUUAAUUGCGAUAACGAACGAGACCUCGGCCCUUAAAUAGCCCGGUCCGCGUUUGCGGGCUGCUGGCUUCUUAGGGGGACUAUCGGCUCAAGCCGAUGGAAGUACGUGGCAAUAACAGGUUAACCUACACAGGCCUGUGACAGUGGAGCCCUUAAUUCCGCUAGUCCAGCAUCGUGAUCUCCUCGGGGGUAGCCCCCCUAUUAUCGGGAGGAGACCGGGACCGUCGAACCUGCCGUUCGCGCUCCCGUGAUGCGGGCGACACCACCUGGAACAGGGAACGCCUCGGGGAGACCCAGGCCGAUCCUGUGGCGAGUCUGAGUCGCGUCAGACCGUCGCAACGCGCGCAAAGGGGUGGGCAACCGUCGGGGUUGCUUAAGGUACGUGCUAAUCCCUUGGGAAACCAAGCUUCCGCAAUGAGACCCGAUAAGUCGAGGUGCGGGAGGGCCAGCCCCGGGGGCUGGUCGGGGUCCGUCGAGGCUGGUGCCGCGGCGGGCCAACUGCUGUGAUGCCCUUAGAUGUUCUGGGCCGCACGCGCGCUACACUGACAGGGCCAGCGAGUACAUCACCUUGGCCGAGAGGUCUGGGUAAUCUUGUUAAACCCUGUCGUGCUGGGGAUAGAGCAUUGCAAUUAUUGCUCUUCAACGAGGAAUGCCUAGUAGGCACGAGUCAUCAGCUCGUGCCGAUUACGUCCCUGCCCUUUGUACACACCGCCCGUCGCUACUACCGAUUGAAUGGCUCAGUGAGGCCUUCGGACUGGCUCAGGGGGGUUGGCAACGACCGCCCAGAGCCGGAAAGUUGGUCAAACUUGGUCAUUUAGAGGAAGUAAAAGUCGUAACAAGGUUUCCGUUAUAAGUCGCGGCUCGAGGAACAUGGAUCCUUCCGCAGUGUACACUUAUCGAAGCCUUUGCAGCCACGCAAGUGGUAGGCCUGGACGACUCUAAACAAGCUGGAGCCGCAUGCAAGUCGCGCCUGUCCCGCGGGGAGGCGUUGGCGACACUUUUGAAUUGUCGGGGACGCCCUAAAGCCGGUCGCACCAACCAGCGUAGGAAACUGCGCUGGGGCCUAUGAACACCUCAUAGGAGAUGGUCACAGACGACUUGGAUAGUUCUGCGUGGCAGAGACGAUGGGCAAUCCGCAGCGAAGCCCCUAAAUCCUUCGGGACAUGGGGAACGUUCACAGACUAAGUGGAAGUGGGUGGGACCUCGUGUCCUGCUUAAGAUAUAGUCGGGCCUCCCGGGAGACCGGGAGGAUGAGUACACUGUACCCUGGACACCGUUCCGUAGGUGAACCUGCGGAAGGAUCAUUA
rnacentral:rRNA from 1 species